CUAACUCCCCCAAAAACCAACUGGAAACACAGCUCAAUGGUGAAUGGGUGUUCUCACUGUGUUGACCCUAUUGUUGCGAUGCUAAAUGCGGGCUAGCCCCUGCUCUGGCCUACUCAGAGGAGAUGUGGCAGAACACACGUGUUGUGUUCCAUCACUGUCUGGAGGGAUUCCACAGCUGGAGAGGAAGGAACACCUCUGUGUGUAACAUCACCGGGAAGUGGCAGGCUUCCACACUGCAAUGCCAAGAAAUCAAGCCUGCCAUCAGCGACUUGGUUGUUUUAAUGAAAAAUGUUUGCGUUGGAAUGCAGACAAGUAUGAAGAAGACACAGAACAUUACAGAGUAGCAUUUGCAGGAUUCAGGGACAAUCAAAGGUCAUUCCAUGACAAGAGGAAUGCUCCACAGCUCCACUUCAGACCUUCCUGAUAUCCACCUGAACCUGCUGCCUGUUACCAGCUAUACCAUCAGCAUCACUGCACUGUGCAGGUUCACUUCCACGGUCACAGCUAACACCAGCCUACAACAAACAACCUCAACUAACAAUAACAGUUUGAUGAUUAAAUAUUUUAAGUUUCUUCCAGGUGCCACUGGAGGGGACCCGUGUGUUUGACUGCAGCUCUCCUAAGAAUCCAGUCUCCUCCAGUCAGAGGAAGUCCCAUGGACAGUACGUCACUGCCCAGGUCCAUCUGAGGGAUGAGGGGAAAGAGAUUACCCUACUAUGAUUUCUUCUACAACGCUCCACUACAGAAUGGCAGAGACUAUUACAUCAUAUUACAAGCUGUCAGUCAAUGGGGAGGGGUAAGACCAACUGCUAUGCAUUAAAAAUAAAUUAUAUGUGGAGUUUAUUCAUCAAAAAGGAAUGACAGUUUUGAAGGUCUUUAACAAAGUUAUAUUGAUUUUUGAUCUUAUUGAUCUCCUGUGCUAUUAGUCAUACUGUGCCAUUUGAACUAUUUUCUAGGAUUUCAAGCACACUUGUGUUAUUUGGGCAAAAGGGAGAGGUACAUCCUACAUGAUGAAGGUUUCAUCACUUUUUGCUGGAGGAUCAAUUGGAGUCUUUGCUUUGGUCAUUUGUGUGUAUGCCUAAUUAUGACAUGUUCUAUAUGUGCAAUUCUUUUUCAGUAUAUUGAUCAAAUCUGACUUAAUACAUCGCCUACUAAACAUUUUGUAUCCCUUUGUCAGGUUUUGUAAGAAGACAUGACAGUCAUCGUGGUAACUGACUUUUUCAGAUGGGUCACACUUGGUAAUAUCAGCAUAAUGUUCAACGACAUCUAUCUGUAAAAUUGUGACUGUGUAAAAAAUGUUUUGUAUUAUUAUUUGUGAUAAAAUACAAGUGAACAUGU